rnacentral:rRNA from 1 species
GACGAACGCUGGCGGCGUGCUUAACACAUGCAAGUCGAACGGUGAAGCGCCUUCCUUUUUGGUGGGUGUGGAUGAGUGGCGAACGGGUGAGUAACACGUGAGUAACCUGCCCCCUUCUUCUGGAUAACCGCAUGAAAGUGUGGCUAAUACGGGAUAUUCUGGGUCUGUCGCAUGAUGGGUCUGGGAAAGAUAUUGUUUCGGUGGGGGAUGGGCUCGCGGCCUAUCAGCUUGUUGGUGGGGUGAUGGCCUACCAAGGCGGUGACGGGUAGCCGGCCUGAGAGGGUGGGCGGUCACACUGGGACUGCGCCACGGCCCAGCCUCCUACGGGAGGCAGCAGUGGGGAAUAUUGCACAAUGGGAGCAAGCCUGAUGCAGCGACGCCGCGUGAGGGAUGGAGGCCUUCGGGUUGUGAACCUCUUUCGCCAGUGAAGCAGGCCUGCCUCGUUUGUGGGUGGGUUGACGGUAGCUGGAUAAGAAGCGCCGGCUAACUACGUG